rnacentral:lncRNA from 1 species
GAAGGGACUGGGAGGACCCCCCCCACUCAAAAAAUUUGGGGGGGGGGCAGCCAGAAUGCCCAAAUUUUAAAAAAAUGGGAAUUUUAGGGGGGGGAUUUCCCCAAUUUUGGGGAUUUUUCCCCCAAUUUUGGGGGUUUUUUACCCAAUUUUAGGGGAUUUUUUCCCCAAUUUUGGGGGGUUUUUCCCCAAUUUUGGGGGGUUUUUCCCCAAUUUUAGGGGUUUUUUACCCAAUUUUGGAGGUUUUUUCCCCAAUUUUCUGGAUUUUUUACCCAAUUUUGGGGUUUUUUACCCAAUUUUGGGUUUUUUUCCCAAUUUUGGAGUUUUUUUCCCCAAUUUUGGGGUUUUUUUUCCCCAAUUUUGGGGGGGUUUUCUCAAUUUAGGGGUUUUUGCCCCAAUUUUGGGGGGGUUCCCCAAUUUUGGGAGGUUUUUACCCAAUUUUGGGGGUUUUUUUUCCCCAAUUUAGGGGUUUUUUACCCAAUUUUGGGUUUUUUCCCCAAUUUUAGGGGAUUUUUUCCCCAAUUUUGGGGUUUUUUCCCCAAUUUUGGGGGGGGGGUUCCCCAAUUUUAGGGGUUUUUCCCCAAUUUGGGGUUUUUUUUCCCCAAUUUUGGGGUUUUACCCAAUUUUGGGGAUUUUCUCCCAAUUUCGGGGUUUUUUACCCAUUUUUGGGAGGUUUUUCCCCAAUUUUGGAGUUUUUUACCCAAUUUUGGGGGGGUUUUACCCAAUUUUGGAUUUUUUUCCCCAAUUUGGGGGGGGGGUUCCCCAAUUUUAGGGUUUUUUCCCCAAUUUUGGGGGUUUUUUUCCCCAAUUUUGGGGUUUUUUUCCCCAAUUUUGGGAGGUUUUUCCCCAAUUUUGGGGUUUUUUCCUCAAUUUUGGGGUUUUUUUUCCCCAAUUUUGGGGGAUUUUUCCUCAAUUUUGGGGAUUUUUCCUCAAUUUUGGGGUGUUUUUCCCCAAUUUUGGGGGAUUUUUUCUCAAUUUUGGGGAUUUUUCCUCAAUUUUGGGGUUUUUCCUCAAUUUUGGGGUUUUUUUCCCCAAUUUUGGGGAUUUUUCCUCAAUUUUGGGGGUCACAACUUUCUCACCCCCCCAAAAAUGUGAAUUUUGGGGUUUUUUCCCCCCAAUUUUUGGGGGUGUCACCACUUCCCCUCCCCCCAAAAAUGGGAAUUUAGGAUUUUUUCCCCAAUUUUUGUGGGGGGGGGGUCACCACUCACUGUCCCCUCCCCCCUCCUUUUUGUCACCUCCUUGUCCCCUCCUUGGGGGGGGCCGAGACCCCCCCCCAAAAUCAACCCCGACCUCAGCGACCUCCCGACCUCCCCCAGC